CGUCUACGCCCGGCCGCCAUCCCAUCUAGGAAGUGAGGAGCGCCUCUUCCCAGCCGCCAUCACAUCUAGGAAGUGAGGAGCGUCUCUGCCCGGCCGCCCAUCGUCUGAGAUGUGGGGAGCGCCUCUGCCCCGCCGCCCCAUCUGGGAUGUGAGGAGCGCCUCUGCCCGGCCGAGACCCCGUCUGGGAGGGACCAUUGCAGUUUAGAGACGUGGCCAUAGAAUUCUCUCUGGAGGAGUGGCAUUGCCUGGACACUGCACAGCGGAAUUUAUAUAGGGAUGUGAAGUUUCAGAACUACAGAAACUUGGUCUUCCUUUAGAUUAUAUUUUCUUCCAUCUUCCGCAUCCUCCUGUUCUUCAGCCAAUAAAUGAAAAAAGAUACAGAGAAGACACAUUUGCUUUUUAUCCACUGCACUUCCACUCACUAUUAGUCAAUGUGGUUACAGCUGAGAAUAGCAGUUUUCUGGCAGGGCAGCCACUUCUCAGCAAUAAACAGCACACUGAAAAAAAAGGAUAAAUCCUUCAUAAAAAGCUAAUGAACUUUUUUUUUCCUGGAAACUUUAAAAUCCCUCAAAAACUGUUUAUUAUACAGGUGAAUUUUGAUAGUCAUGAUGGGCUUAUCGGUAGGAUUUCUGGUAGCAAGCACGGGCACCAGGACCUCCAAACUUUUUGGACUUGCAGCGACGGGGAUCAGCUACCAGCAGGGUCCGGUCAUACUGGAUGAG
rnacentral:lncRNA from 10 species